rnacentral:rRNA from 1 species
GAUGAACGCUGGCGGCGUGCCUAAUACAUGCAAGUCGAGCGAACAGACGAGGAGCUUGCUCCUCUGACGUUAGCGGCGGACAGGUGAGUAACACGUGGAUAACCUACCUAUAAGACUGGGAUAACUUCGGGAAACCGGAGCUAAUACCGGAUAAUAUAUUGAACCGCAUGGUUCAAUAGUGAAAGACGGUUUUGCUGUCACUUAUAGAUGGAUCCGCGCCGCAUUAGCUAGUUGGUAAGGUAACGGCUUACCAAGGCAACGAUGCGUAGCCGACCUGAGAGGGUGGUCGGCCACACUGGAACUGAGACACGGUCCAGACUCCUACGGGAGGCAGCAGUAGGGAAUCUUCCGCAAUGGGCGAAAGCCUGACGGAGCAACGCCGCGUGAGUGAUGAAGGUCUUCGGAUCGUAGAACUCUGUUAUUAGGGAAGAACAAAUGUGUAAGUAACUAUGCACGUCUUGACGGUACCUAAACAGAAAGCCACGGCUAACUACGUG